AACAAUUCUCUUGCCCCAGCCUUGCGAGUAGCUGGGAUUACAGAAGUCAGUCUACACUGAAACUGCCAUGUUGAAGAACUCAUGUGGGAGAACACAUAGAGAUCGAGAUGCCUAAGGAGGCCCAGCUGUCCCAGCCCCUAGCUCUCUAAGUCUUCCCAGCAAGAGCUGUCAAACAUGGGAGUGAAGCCACCAGCUCUCUGAGCCUUCCCAGCAAGAACUGUCAAACACAGGAGUGAAGCAGCCUUCAGGUGACUCUGGCCCCAGUCUUCAAGUGCCCGAGCUGGUGCCAAGUGGAGCAGACAAGCUGCCACUCACCAAGCCCUUCCCAAAUUGCAGACUAGGGGCAGAAUAAAUGCUAUUUUAAGCUACUAAAUUUUGUUUUUUAUAUAUUACAGUAACUGAAAACCAGACCCCCCCCCUUUUUUUUAAUGCCACUGUUAGUUGGAUAUUCUGUUACUUGCAGCCAAAAACAUCCCUAUCUGAAAUACUUAGUAGUAGAGAAGAUGAAAAAGAAAUCACUAAAACGAUCCUUUUGAGUUGCUGUAUGUGCUGAUUAUCCAAUCUAUUCCUCGCUUAUUCUGUUUCUGGCAAUCAGUUUCACUGUAGUACUGUUAUCAUAACUUCCCAUCGAAGUCAAUUCUGCUUUAGUUAUAUAAAGAUUUUAUUUACAAAAGGGCUGGGCUAGUAGAAACAUAGAAAAAGAAGGACUUCAAUUCAGGGCACCAUACUGCUGUUUUCCUCCUCUUUGGGCAUUUUGAUUAUAAUAAAGAAAAUCUUAGAAGCUUCUUCACCAUCAGGUAAAGGUUGAGAGUUCCUAACUUUAUAAAACUCUCAUCAAUUUUUGCAGCUGCUUUCUUAAUGAAAUGCUACUAGCAUUUGAUGGCUUUAUUUUUUCAUUGACAUUUGGAGCUUUUAAAUAGAUAAAUAUUUAAUGUCAUGUUUAAUAGGUCAGAUUCCGUGAAGAAAAUUUCCAUUAGUUAGUUCCCAUUUUUUAAAGAAUUGAUGGUCACUCAGUAUUGUUGGAAUUUUUUAAAAAAGGUUUUAAUCAUACAUUUAUUUUUAAGUCUGGCAUAUGGAAACUAGCAAGGUUGUUCUAGAUUAAUAUCCAUAUCCUUAUGGGAGCUACACUAUAAAUUGAAAAUCUUUUAUCCCAAAGUAACAUAAUACUAUUUCUAGUGAUGGGAAUUCCUAAGCAGCUUUGUAAUAUCGUUUGGACAGUCUUCUCACUCUAUUGCACUGAAAUUUUAAACCUGAAAGAACAGAACUGCAACUCUUGAAGGCUAGUUGCACAAAAGCCAACUUCAGUUUUGUAUCUUUGUUUACUCAAUGUCUACAUCCUUAAACUGUUGGCAAAUUCACAGCUGGGUGGAGCAGCAAAAAUGUCGUCGUGCUGAUGAUAUGGGUAGCGAUGGGUGUGGAGGCUAGAUUGGGGCACCAGAGGGGUCCUUGCAAAGAAAAGUUACGUAAGCGAUAUUACAUGCAGCAGCAGCCUCUGGGUUGAAAAAUAACUGCAAAGGGAGUGUCAGCCUUUGUUGGAUUUCACUCCCUGAUUUAUUAUCCUUACGGGUCAGACCUAUAUUCCUGGGUGGGCUGGAGCGUCUAAGUGUAGUGAAUUCCUAAUAGCAACCCUGCACAAUAGCUUUAAAAGCCUGGCAAUGUUUUUUUGUUUUUGUUUUUUUAAAAUUUUGUUUCAAGACAGCGAGGUGCUGUAUGCAAAAGCUGAACAAACAUCUCGAUAAGAAGCCAAAACAGGACAGAUGUUUCAUGCUGCACCUCAAAUUUGGUUGCUUACAGCAUGAUUUCCUUAAACAAGCAGGAAACACAGAAAAACGUAGAAGACAACUGGUUUUCCACGGUAGCUCCAAAGCAGAUUAAAACAAGCACUGAUUUCCCAUCCUGUCCUUCUUCUGCCUAUCUAUCUUUUCUAGGGAACUUAAUUAUUAAUUCAUGAGACAAUGUCUGUAUUCAUGCCACCUGAUAUUUUUAUUUUUCUAACCUGUGAAAAAUAAGUUGUCACUGUGCAUCUACCCUGUGUUAGAGAUUCCUUGGGAGCCCAUAUCAUAAUUUACUUGGUACUGAGCUGCCAUCUAGCACAUGAGGGAAAUAUAUAUAUAUAUAUAUAUAUAUAGGCAGUCAUAUAGACUGUGGGUAACUGAAAAUACAUAUGAGAUCUGCCACCUGCCUAGGGUGACCCUGAACUCUGAGCACCCUAAUCUGUUAAGUAUCACUUGAGAUUCUCACAUUAUGAGGGAGAGGCAAGCAUUUCUGUUCUUUGGCCAUUGUGUGCUCCACAUCUUACUUGGUAGGAUUCUCUGGAUUAGGACCCUCAGUGUUAGUCCUGAGCUCCUCCAACACCCUCUCUUAGCUAAUGCCUUUCUAUGGGUUUCUCAGAUGCCUGCAGUGUUCUACUUGCCUCCACCUCAUUAGCAGAUAGAGCCUAGAAAUUCCCCUCUAAUGCCACUGCCUCUUGCUGAAGCCCUAUACAGCUCCAGAAAACAGAAAACCUUCCGCCAUGUAAAUGAUUGCUUUUAGAAGCAUGACCUACUCAAGCUGCAGCUAAUUCCUUCCAGAGGCUUGAGUUCCCUCAUUCACAGAGACAGUAUUUCUCAAAGCAUCAGAAUUAUCUAGCAUGCUUGUGAAAAUACAAAUUCCCACUGAAUCAGACGGUCUCAGGGUGGGAUUGGGAGUUGGCAUAUGUAAUAAGCUCCUUAUGCAGGCAGCUACUGCUUCCAAUUCAGAAUAGAGAGCUAGUUAAUUUCAUCCUUGUACACAUCAAGUUUAGCAUUUCUUAGGGAUGAGGAUACCUUUUUACCCUCACAGCUUGGAGACCUUAGGAAAAUUCUGUCAAUUUCUCAAUUUCAACUCCUUGGAUAUCACCCAAUCCUUCAACUUGCAGCAGCCUUAAGAAAAUUGAGGCUUUGUGGGAGAAAAUUGAGGCUGAAAACUGCACUGAUCGUUCAUCCUUGGUCUUGGCCAGACUUCCACACUCACCUUUGAGGAGCUGCCUCCAAAGUCAUCCGUACUCUCAUGUUUUCGUUGUUUUGCCUCCUCACCCCUGCCUUACCACACCUCAUGAUAACCCCAUUUCCUCUAGCCUCUGGAUUUUCACUCCGUGGUAGAUUCCUUCGGCCCCAGGCCUCAGCUGAAAUCUGGGUCUCACUGGGGUGGUCUUUCCCCAUGAGAUUUCCCACAUGACGGUAGCCCUUUUCCCCAUUUGCAUUGUGAACCACAGGGUUGUGGGUGACAGGUGAGGGACAGAGUUAGAAAGGGGUCAGCCAACUUUUCGCAUAAAGGACCAGAUAGUAAAUAUCAUUGUGGGCCACGCAGUCCAUCAUACCUGCUCAAGUCUGCUGUUGCAGCACAAAAGAAAUUAUAGACAGUAGUUGAAUAAAUGAACUUGUUUCAAUAAAACUUCA